UCCAAUCUGCCAGAGGUUGCUAUUUAGCCUUGCCCAGACCCCUCCUGGCAGUUGACGGAUUGUGGUGACAACCGACGCUCAGCGCGCACCGGUGAGUUCAUCGGGAGGCCUCGGAGGAGACGCGAUUUGAUCGACCCCAGAGGGCACAACAGUGCAACGCACUCAUAUAGUGGAGAAGCGACGGUGUGGAACUGGUCCCUUGGAUAAGGUAUACCAAAGAUUUACAGCCUCUUCCAUGGGAUGCUCCUGUCCACUCCGUGCAGCCAAGCGACUCCAUGCUUGUUCGUACCUGGAAAGACGAGCCUCUCCAAGAGAAGUGGAAGGGACCCCACACUGUCCUGCUGGAUUCCCACAUGGCAGCAAAGGUUGAGGGACACAAACUAGAUCCACCACUCUCGCCUGAAGGCUGUGCCCACUCCUCCGUCAACGGGAUGGUGGACUGUCCAGCCCAUCAACACUUCGCCCGCCGACGACCUAGGACUCAAGUUAUUGUUUAAGAGGCACUAAGGAGGUUGAAGGGGGUCUACUUGUAGCAUAGCCAUCCUGUCCGAGAUACACGGCAUGGGUCCUGGAUCAGAGUCUGCUACGCUGGUACUUUUUGCUAUGGGAACCAUUCUCUCACUAUUUCCCAUUUCGCUCUCUGCACAUGCAGGAUGGGAAAAGGCCCCUACAGACCUGGUUACUAACACCUAUGAGGCCCUGAAGGUUGCUUUUGCCCGUGAAUUUAAUCUUUCCAACGCCUGAAUAUAUCCCCAGGUCCCCUACCAUGUGGCCAGAUUCCCUUGGAGGGCCGUCCCCCAAAACUGGUCUGAUUUCUGCUCUGACCUCUCCGCCCAAAUAAGUUCCCCACGUUAUUCGGGGUUCCUACAAAAUCUUAGCCGUACCAACCCUACCCUUGUUGAAAAUUGUACUAAGGAGUCACGCUAUACUAUUCAUAAUGAUUCCUGGAGGCCGUAUUGGAACUCAACCCGUAAUCCCCGCCCCACCCAGCUACGCUCUGUCCUCUUAGGCCUCCUUUGUUAUUGCCAGGAAGCCACUGCUAACCAUACCUGGUUUGCUGGAAACAGCACCUGUCAAUUUUAUCUCUCCCCUAGUAAAAAUGUUACUAUUCCCAUGUUCAAUGGGACGGCCUGGGACCAGGGAGAAGGACGAAUAUAUUAUCCUCCCUCUGCCACUACAAACAAAGCUGGUUUUAAUGGCAAGGUAGCCAACGGCCAGUCCUUUUUAUAUCUGUGGUAACUCUGCCUAUAAAUGGCUACCCCACCACUAGCAUGGAAGCUGUUACGUGGGAUAUCUUAUCCCUCCCCUUCGGGUCAUGGCCCAACUCCCGUCUGGCCGUCCCCGGCAUCAGCGGUCUCUGUAUGCCACUCCCGCACCCAUUAGUGAAGGGGAUAGAUUCGGUAUGGUUUUUAUCCCGGGGUAGGUAAAUUGGCCAAACUCUAUUGCCAGCUCUCUGUAUUCCUCACCAGGUUUGCCAAUGAUACCUUGGCCAUAGGAAAAAACCUUAACUUGAAGCUUUACCAACUCCAGAUGCUGUCCCUGCAGAACCGCCAGGCCUUAGAUUACCUUCUGGCUUCACAGGGCAGGGUGUGUGCCCUUAUUGGGGACGAAUGCUGUACUUGUGUCCCAGAAAAUUCACAGGAUGUUAACAAGCACAUCCUGUCAGCUGAACAGGCUUUCAACCAGUGGAAAGCCCAGGAAAAAGAGCCCACUAUUUUUGACUCACUCUGGGGAUGGCUGCCUAACCUGGGGGGAGGCAUUGUUUGUCUCUUGCUCACAUGUGCCGUGUUGUGUAUUAUUACUCUCCUCUUGCUUGCCUGUUGUAAAGCACUCCUACAAAAAAUUUGUAUUUCCCACUCCCCAGAAACCCCAUUAUAUCCUCUUAUCGAUGACUCCAACUCCUUAGUGCUUAAUCAAUUUUUGUCCUCAGAAUAUGAGAACUCAGUCAAAAGCUUGUUGAGUGCUCUCAAAGGAGGGAGUAGUUGUUGGCACUGGGCAUAACGCUAGGUAACUCGGGAGGAUGGAAGACCACGAGAGUCGAUGAAGCCCUCCUGCUCUAGACCUAGGCAAGCCAAAGCUCCUCCAUGGUAAACCUUCUGCAACCCUGAGGUUAUGCAAUGGCAAACAAACAUAAUUACACAAAAGAGUGCUAGCCUAAACUGGUAUCAGCCGGCUGUAAGAGCAUGUAUGUGUCCGUAACCAGAUACGGAAGGGGAUGUUUAGCAAUAGCCUCCGUGAGAUAAUAACUCGGGUAUGACCAAAUAAGGUAAGGCUUGAACAAUGCUGAUGGAAAAGAGGGGAAAAAAAAUGUACUUGGCUGCUUUAGAUGAUUGGCUGUGCUAUUGUACGGGGCAACAGGUGAUUGGGUGCAUAUGCUUAUGUAUGCUGAGUGAAAAAUUAGGUAUAAAUUGUAUGAUGUAAUCUGCAUUUGGUGCACAGGAUUUGAGAUAGUUCAGUCUCCCUGUGCCAUAUUUGAAGCUUCAAAUAAACUCUCUGCUUCU